GGUUAAGCGACUAAGCGUACACGGUGGAUGCCCUGGCAGUCAGAGGCGAUGAAGGACGUGCUAAUCUGCGAUAAGCGCCGGUAAGGUGAUAUGAACCGUUAUAACCGGCGAUUUCCGAAUGGGGAAACCCAGUGUGACUCGUCACACUAUCAUUAACUGAAUCCAUAGGUUAAUGAGGCGAACCGGGGGAACUGAAACAUCUAAGUACCCCGAGGAAAAGAAAUCAACCGAGAUUCCCCCAGUAGCGGCGAGCGAACGGGGAGGAGCCCAGAGCCUGAAUCAGCAUAUGUGUUAGUGGAAGCGUCUGGAAAGGCGCGCGAUACAGGGUGACAGCCCCGUACACAAAAGCGCAUGUGCUGUGAGCUCGAUGAGUAGGGCGGGACACGUGGUAUCCUGUCUGAAUAUGGGGGGACCAUCCUCCAAGGCUAAAUACUCCUGACUGACCGAUAGUGAACCAGUACCGUGAGGGAAAGGCGAAAAGAACCCCGGCGAGGGGAGUGAAAAAGAACCUGAAACCGUGUACGUACAAGCAGUGGGAGCACCCUUUGGGGUGUGACUGCGUACCUUUUGUAUAAUGGGUCAGCGACUUAUAUUCUGUAGCAAGGUUAACCGAAUAGGGGAGCCGGAGGGAAACCGAGUCUUAAUUGGGCGUUAAGUUGCAGGGUAUAGACCCGAAACCCGGUGAUCUAGCCAUGGGCAGGUUGAAGGUUGGGUAACACUAACUGGAGGACCGAACCGACUAAUGUUGAAAAAUUAGCGGAUGACCUGUGGCUGGGGGUGAAAGGCCAAUCAAACCGGGAGAUAGCUGGUUCUCCCCGAAAGCUAUUUAGGUAGCGCCUCGUGAAUUCAUCUCCGGGGGUAGAGCACUGUUUCGGCUAGGGGGCCAUCCCGGCUUACCAACCCGAUGCAAACUGCGAAUACCGGAGAAUGUUAUCACGGGAGACACACGGCGGGUGCUAACGUCCGUCGUGAAGAGGGAAACAACCCAGACCGCCAGCUAAGGUCCCAAAGUCAUGGUUAAGUGGGAAACGAUGUGGGAAGGCCCAGACAGCCAGGAUGUUGGCUUAGAAGCAGCCAUCAUUUAAAGAAAGCGUAAUAGCUCACUGGUCGAGUCGGCCUGCGCGGAAGAUGUAACGGGGCUAAACCAUGCACCGAAGCUGCGGCAGCGACGCUGAUGCGUUGUUGGGUAGGGGAGCGUUCUGUAAGCCUGCGAAGGUGGCCUGUGAGGGUUGCUGGAGGUAUCAGAAGUGCGAAUGCUGACAUAAGUAACGAUAAAGCGGGUGAAAAGCCCGCUCGCCGGAAGACCAAGGGUUCCUGUCCAACGUUAAUCGGGGCAGGGUGAGUCGACCCCUAAGGCGAGGCCGAAAGGCGUAGUCGAUGGGAAACGGGUUAAUAUUCCCGUACUUGGUGUUACUGCGAAGGGGGGACGGAGAAGGCUAUGUUGGCCGGGCGACGGUUGUCCCGGUUUAAGCGUGUAGGUGUGUGUUCCAGGUAAAUCCGGUUCACUUUAACACUGAGGCGUGAUGACGAGGCACUACGGUGCUGAAGCAACAAAUGCCCUGCUUCCAGGAAAAGCCUCUAAGCAUCAGGUAACAUCAAAUCGUACCCCAAACCGACACAGGUGGUCAGGUAGAGAAUACCAAGGCGCUUGAGAGAACUCGGGUGAAGGAACUAGGCAAAAUGGUGCCGUAACUUCGGGAGAAGGCACGCUGACACGUAGGUGAAGUGAUUUACUCAUGGAGCUGAAGUCAGUCGAAGAUACCAGCUGGCUGCAACUGUUUAUUAAAAACACAGCACUGUGCAAACACGAAAGUGGACGUAUACGGUGUGACGCCUGCCCGGUGCCGGAAGGUUAAUUGAUGGGGUCAGCGCAAGCGAAGCUCCUGAUCGAAGCCCCGGUAAACGGCGGCCGUAACUAUAACGGUCCUAAGGUAGCGAAAUUCCUUGUCGGGUAAGUUCCGACCUGCACGAAUGGCGUAAUGAUGGCCAGGCUGUCUCCACCCGAGACUCAGUGAAAUUGAACUCGCUGUGAAGAUGCAGUGUACCCGCGGCAAGACGGAAAGACCCCGUGAACCUUUACUAUAGCUUGACACUGAACAUUGAGCCUUGAUGUGUAGGAUAGGUGGGAGGCUUUGAAGUGUGGACGCCAGUCUGCAUGGAGCCGGCCUUGAAAUACCACCCUUUAAUGUUUGAUGUUCUAACGUGGACCCGUGAUCCGGGUUGCGGACAGUGUCUGGUGGGUAGUUUGACUGGGGCGGUCUCCUCCUAAAGAGUAACGGAGGAGCACGAAGGUUGGCUAAUCCUGGUCGGACAUCAGGAGGUUAGUGCAAUGGCAUAAGCCAGCUUGACUGCGAGCGUGACGGCGCGAGCAGGUGCGAAAGCAGGUCAUAGUGAUCCGGUGGUUCUGAAUGGAAGGGCCAUCGCUCAACGGAUAAAAGGUACUCCGGGGAUAACAGGCUGAUACCGCCCAAGAGUUCAUAUCGACGGCGGUGUUUGGCACCUCGAUGUCGGCUCAUCACAUCCUGGGGCUGAAGUAGGUCCCAAGGGUAUGGCUGUUCGCCAUUUAAAGUGGUACGCGAGCUGGGUUUAGAACGUCGUGAGACAGUUCGGUCCCUAUCUGCCGUGGGCGCUGGAGAACUGAGGGGGGCUGCUCCUAGUACGAGAGGACCGGAGUGGACGCAUCACUGGUGUUCGGGUUGUCAUGCCAAUGGCACUGCCCGGUAGCUAAAUGCGGAAGAGAUAAGUGCUGAAAGCAUCUAAGCACGAAACUUGCCCCGAGAUGAGUUCUCCCUGAGACUUAGAGUCUCCUGAAGGAACGUUGAAGACGACGACGUUGAUAGGCCGGGUGUGUAAGCGCAGCGAUGCGUUGAGCUAACCGGUACUAAUGAACCGUGAGGCUUAACCUU
rnacentral:rRNA from 2 species